UACGUAGGGGGCGAGCGUUGUCCGGAUUUAUUGGGCGUAAAGAGCGUGUAGGCGGCCAGAUAGGUCAGCUGUGAAAACUCGAGGCUCAACCUCGAGACGUCGGUUGAAACCACCUGGCUAGAGUCCGGAAGAGGAGAGUGGAAUUCCUGGUGUAGCGGUGAAAUGCGCAGAUAUCAGGAAGAACACCCGUGGCGAAGGCGGCUCUCUGGGACGGUACUGACGCUGAGACGCGAAAGCGUGGGGAGCGAACAGG
rnacentral:rRNA from 1 species